GAUGAACGCUGGCGGCGUGCCUAAUACAUGCAAGUCGAGCGAACGGACGAGAAGCUUGCUUUUCUGAUGUUAGCGGCGGACGGGUGAGUAACACGUGGAUAACCUACCUAUAAGACUGGGAUAACUUCGGGAAACCGGAGCUAAUACCGGAUAAUAUUUUGAACCGCAUGGUUCAAAAGUGAAAGACGGUCUUGCUGUCACUUAUAGAUGGAUCCGCGCUGCAUUAGCUAGUUGGUAAGGUAACGGCUUACCAAGGCAACGAUGCAUAGCCGACCUGAGAGGGUGAUCGGCCACACUGGAACUGAGACACGGUCCAGACUCCUACGGGAGGCAGCAGUAGGGAAUCUUCCGCAAUGGGCGAAAGCCUGACGGAGCAACGCCGCGUGAGUGAUGAAGGUCUUCGGAUCGUAAAACUCUGUUAUUAGGGAAGAACAUACGUGUAAGUAACUGUGCACAUCUUGACGGUACCUAAUCAGAAAGCCACGGCUAACUACGU
rnacentral:rRNA from 1 species